GACGAACGCUGGCGGCGUGCUUAACACAUGCAAGUCGAGCGAUGAAGCUGGAGCUUGCUCCGGUGGAUUAGUGGCGAACGGGUGAGUAACACGUGAGCAAUCUGCCCUUGACUCUGGGAUAACUGCGGGAAACUGUAGCUAAUACCGGAUACUUUCCUUGGUGGGCAUCCACUGGGGAAGAAGGAAUUUCGGUCAAGGAUGAGCUCGCGGCCUAUCAGCUAGUUGGUGAGGUAAUGGCUCACCAAGGCGACGACGGGUAGCCGGCCUGAGAGGGUGACCGGCCACACUGGAACUGAGACACGGUCCAGACUCCUACGGGAGGCAGCAGUGGGGAAUAUUGCACAAUGGGCGAAAGCCUGACGCAGCAACGCCGCGUGAGGGACGAAGGCCUUCGGGUUGUAAACCUCUUUUAGCAGGGAAGAAGCGAAAGUGACGGUACCUGCAGAAAAAGCACCGGCUAACUACGUGCCAGCCGCCGCCGUAA
rnacentral:rRNA from 1 species